rnacentral:rRNA from 1 species
GCUGUCGCUGACCUUCAAGGGUCGUGCACGCCCGAGCCCUCUCUCAAUCCAUCUCACCCUUUGUGCAUCACCGCGUGGGUCCCCCCCUUUGCGGGAGGGCUCGCGUUUUCACAUAAAACUCGAUACAGUGUAGAAUGUUCAUUUUUGCGGUCACACGCAAUCAAUACAACUUUCAACAACGGAUCUCUUGGCUCUCGCAUCGAUGAAGAACGCAGCGAAAUGCGAUACGUAAUGUGAAUUGCAGAAUUCAGUGAAUCAUCGAAUCUUUGAACGCACCUUGCGCCCCUUGGCAUUCCGAGGGGCACACCCGUUUGAGUGUCGUGAAAUCUUCAAAACCCUUCUCUUUGAAAAGGAUUUUUGGACUUGGAGGUUUAAUGCUCGCUUUUUGCAUCAUGAAAGCGAGCUCCUCUCAAAAGAAUCAGUGGGGUCUGCUUUGCUGGUCCUUGACGUGAUAAGAUGUUUCUACGUUUUGGAUUUGGCAUGGUCCUCUGCUCCUAAUCGUCUCAUGGACAACGAUGGUGCUUCGGUCGCCGCCAACCACAAUUGGCGGAAGGCUGGACCCACACCA